AGGAACAACUGCAGUGGCGGAGCCAGCUCUCGAGCCCUGGAUUCAGCUACGGCAGGAACUACGGAGCUCUCUGCAGGGCCUGGAGGCUCCGGGGCGGG
rfam:Canis lupus familiaris chromosome 2, whole genome shotgun sequence.